GGUAAAUACAAGACCCUUCUACCCACCCAUCCUACUCCCUCUACCUCCCCUCAAUUAAGUAAAUAUUUAUCAAGUCCUGAAACAAACGACUCCCAAUAUAAAUAGAAGUGCUGCCAUAUUCAAUGAAUCAGUUUCAGGAAAUGUUACAAUUAUAUCUAAUAGAAGUACAAAAAAUCGUUUUUUAAUUGGAAAUUUUACGAUAAAUUUUUUUUUAAAUUAACAGUUAUGCCUUACAUUCUUCAACAUAAUGGCACCAGAAUAAACUUGUAAU